CCAAUUUAGGUGCUUAUCAGUGCCAAUCUGCCAUUUUCAACCUGUAUACUGGUACGAGUUUAAAGGGUUAAGAUCAACACACCUGAACAUACUUAACAAGAUAGAGGAGAGAGAGAAUUUUGUUGAUAAUGAGAACGGAAUGUAUUAUUCUCUGAACAAUACUAAAGUUCUUGUGGUUUUUAUGGAAAGUUCUCUUCAUGUUCUGAAAACAAAAUUUAGAGCUUAUUGAGGUUUGUGUAGAAUUCAGUUUUUUUAGAACAUUCCUAGAAUAUUGCCAAGAACUGUCAUAAAAGAGAACCAACCAUACAGUCACUGAACAUUCUGAGAAUAUCGCUUAAGUCACACCAUUUUUGAGAACUUGCCCAGAAUGUAGUAAAAAUAUUAAUAGAACCACAUGGGAACUUGUGUGGAAUCUUCUGUGGAAGCACUGAAAUUCCCACAGAAUAAUGGUGUUUAACGUUCUCGGAACAUUUUGAGAACAUGAAUUUAAUCAGAACGAUGAGGAAACCGGUAGGAAAUGUUAUGCUGAUGUACUGAAAUUCUCACUGAAAAACAUUUUCUUAACAUUCUUGGAACAAUUUGAGAACCUUCCCAAUGUCAACCAGUUGGAGAGCGUUCCUAGAACAUUACCAAAAUUGAAAUGAAAUGUAACCAUGUUUGAAAUUUUAGGAAAUGUUCUGCUAAAGCAACGAAAUACCAAGAUAAUCCUGCACCAGUCCCAGGAAGUUGUGGAAAGUUUAUAUGCAAAAUAACCUUCGGACAACCACACUCUCACCAAGCUCUAAGAAACAUAUGGUUAUCAGAACGUUGUGUGCUAGCUGGGUAACCUAUAUUCUUGUAAAAUCGAGUGAUGUUGUUUAUAAUCCACCAGAAGGCCUUUAUUUAAUCCUAGCCAGAAUUUUAGCAUUUUCAAUAAAAAAUACUAGCUAUUUAAUGGAUGUGUCCUGGCAGAUAAUGGCUGGAAAAAAAUACUCAAUAGGCUAAUUCAGUUUCAGUAUAAUCUACUAGUAUUAUUUUCAUGUGAUAUAAUAGACGUUAUAAACUGUUAAAUUAGCAUACCUAAUUAGCCGGUUUCCAAUUUGGAAUCUGUCGUUAUAUUAUUCACAUCCACGCGCUUUCAGGACAGAAUUUCACAGGGCUUUCCUUACGGUAUUCAGAGCAUAAAAUAAGACAUUUCCCUUUUAAGACGAAACGAUGCCUCUGUUUGACAAGUCUUGGCUCCAAAAGAGUGUCCGCUUCGUGGGCGUAGGCGUGAACCUAUUCAAGUACAGUAAAUAUGGAGAGCUGUGAAAGCCUGUCUGUAGAUGAAGAGGUCCCAGUGAAUGUCCCAAGAGAUUGCUGGCACAUCCUUGUAUGCCAUGGGUUGUAUGUGUAUUUAUGUUAACAAAUGUUGUAUACAACAAUACAGUUAAAAGUCACACAGAAUGUAGGCUACAAACUUAUUACAACUGUAGCAGGCCAAUCCUUCUCCUGGAGGUAUGCUGGGUGUGCACGCUUUUGUUCAAGCCCAGCACUAACACCUGAUUCAAACCUAUUGAGUUGAGAAUGUGUAUUUUUGCUGGGCUGGAAUACUGCUCACCCAGUAUAUCAGGGAGUGGAGCAAGGUUGGCAACCUCUGGUAUGGCUUUUUUGUACACCUGAAAUUAGGCUUUAGUAAUAAUAUCCUACUUACUAAGAUGUCUAACAUUUACAAACACGUUUUGUACAAACUUGUACAUUUUUAAAUUCAAUGUUGAUUCAUUGAAGUGUUUAAACUGGUUUUAAUUGUUAACUUAAAACAUUCAAGUUGUGGCAAUGUUCAUUCAUGACAGAACACAAUUCUGCAAUAAAAAGGUGUGAAGAGGAUCUGUCUCUAAUUUGUCUGUUUCUGUGUUGCUUUCGUGAAGUAACAUUACCUUUUUGUCCAGUUGUGAGCUCUCCAAUCGGUUUUAUUUGAUUGUCACUCUCAGGAUAUCAGCCAUGUGAACCCAUUUUGCAGCUUAUCAUAAUGGCAUGCAUCACCAAUGCAGCCAUAGGCCUAACGUUUGAUGGCAUUACUGGCCUAAUGGGCAUGUCCAUCAACGUGCCCCUUGUCAUUGUACAUCUAAUGCAGCUCUACGGACAAUUUCUUUGACCUCGUGGCUUGGUUUUUGCUCUGACAUGCCUUGUUAAC